UGGGGAAUACAAGAUACAUAGUUUGAAAGAGUAAAACAGACUAUCACAUUAUUUCCCUAUAUUAAUACAUUGAUGCCUUCUGAUGACUGUGGACCAUUAAGUGUUUGUCCAGAGACAGAUACGAGGCAUACAUUG